AAUAAAAUCUCUAAAAAAAUUUUUAAAAACAAUAACAACAUUAUUCACAGCUCUGGAAACCAUAGGUCUAAGGUCAAGGUGCCCCCAGGGCUGCAUUCCCUUGUGGAGGCUCUGGGGGGACUCCGUCCCUUGCCUUUGCCUCUUCCAGCGACUGGUGGCUGCUGGCUUUCCCUGACUUGUGUCGGUGUCACUCCAGUCUCUGCCUCUGUCUUCACAUUGUCUGCUUUUCGCUGAGUGUGUCUUAUCCUUUCCGCUCCUCUCUUAUAAGGCUACUUGUGAUGGCAUUCAGGGCCCACCAGGGCAAUCGGGAUGAUUUUAUCUUAAAAUCCUUAACUUAUUCACAUCUGCAAAAAUUACCACAUAAGAUAAUAGUCACAGGUUCCAGGGGACUCAUGUCCUUGGGAGUCACCACUCAGCCCACACUACACACAGUUAGGAAAUAAAAUUCCUUGGGAACCUAUACAUCUUAUGAGAAAGUGUUUUAGUCCCUUCACUUGUCUGUGUCCUGUUCUGAUGACCUACCAACUAUUAGUUAUAAGUGCUUUCGGAGGUCCAGAGCUCACACAGAGUAGCUGGAAUGGUCAGUCUCAUCAGUGACAACUAACAUAUUUGUGUAAUUCAAUACUCACGUUAAAAAUAUCAACUUAACAAUGUUAUAGGCAAAAAAAAGAGCUCGCUGAUGUGAAGUUUCACUGAAAUGAUGCAAAGAAAAGAUGGUAAUUAAAUAUCACUGUUUCUCAAAGUAAAAGAAACCUUUGUGUUAACCCUUUCUUUUAUGAGUCACUUAUGCCAGUUUCAUCAAACGCCUAAAAAAGUACGUUUAGCACCUGGAUGUAUGAAAGGUCUGUAUAAUGGUUUUCAUCAGGCAGUUGUUUUAAAGUUCAGAUUCCACUCCUCAUCCUCCACAACUAUUGAUAUAUCCUAAUUUAUUUAUAACUCACUCCCUGAUAACCUCCAAAAAUAAUCUGACAUGGCUUCUUAUGAAAAACAUACACGAUUAGAAACAAAAUGUCAAACAAUUAUUGAGGGAAAAGGAAAUAAAUAUGCCUUCCAAAUCUACACUAAUUAUUCAUUGAAAAUGGGUACUCAUAUCAAUAAUGAGUGCUUACUUCUAAGCCUCCCGGCAGCCGAGGCAGACAGGAUCUCCAAUAGCAAACCAUAAUGCUCACUGUUUAGUGUUUGCUGCUUCCCCAUCUCACCCUGAGGUUGGUGUAGAAAUGUUGGUGACCACCUCCAGUCUUCGCUAUUGUCUCCAGAAACAAAGUUAACUUUGAUUUACAUUGCAUGGACUCUUCCAAUUUUUAUAUACUACACAGCAUUUGCUUGAGUAAUUUUGGGGCCUGGUUUUAGAUUGUAUACCACAAUGUUGAAAUCAAUCUGUGGCAGUAAGUGCUAAGACUAAACAAGACUGUCCUCCUCAUCCUUUACCUGUGAGCAUUUUGUUAAGAUUGGUACUUUUCUUGAAGGUUGUUCCUUAUCUCCAGCUGAAUCCCAUGAACUGACUCAGGGCACAUUUUGAGUAAAUCUUAUGAUCUGGAGACUCUAACCACGUCUACGUACCACGUUCAUGAAUAUUAUACUGGCAGUGGUUUUAUUCAACCAUUGCUUAACUGAAAAUCUAUUGACCAAGAAAACCUGAGAAAGCAUUCCAUAGGUGGUCUGAAUUUAAGGCAAAUGUGGGCAGUGAUUAGACCAAUUAUAGGUAAAUGGCUAAGAAAGCUGUGACUGUGUGCGUGAGUUGAAUUAUUAUUAAACAUGAAUGAGCUAGCACAGUUGGAGAUUUAGACAUUUACGUGGGUUUAAUGUCAUUUUACAUAGCUGAACCAAAUUAAAACAAUAUUUUGUGUGAGGAUUAAACUUUCUUAAGGUUGAAUACUGUGGGGAUUUGGCAUAACAGAGUACUAAUUUUCAGCCCAAGUAGUUCACAUCUCUUUUGAGAUUCUUAUUGUUACUUGUGGCUAGUUCAGCAUGUGAGACCGUAAAGCAGUGAAUUCUGCUUUCUUCCUGGACACAGGCUUUGCCCCUAAAUCCUCUGGUCUGUUUCAAGUUGUGUAUCUCUGCUCCCAGGCUGAACUAGGCAAAAGAUGUUGAUGGAUCAUCAUUUCUAGAAAAGCAUCUCAAAGCAUAUUUCACAUGGACAGUUGGUUAACACAGUAAUUUUUUGUUUUAUAGGAAGCAGUACAGCCUAAAAUCACAAACUGGUGGGCUACCUAUGAGGACAUGCUCUGGCUUAAUGACUCUCUGGGUAUUUUCGGUAGAAGAGUUUGGGUUUGAAAGAAAAAUUUAUUUCAGAGGAAUGGAAAUUCUUAGGGUUUAAUUAUUUAUUUAUUAAGAGCUCAGCUCUGGCUCAAGUGCAGGACUGUUUAAGUUCAAAUUCUAACUUCUCCAUUUACCAUCUGUAUGUCCUUGGUCAAGUUACUCUUCCAAUGAUCAGUUUACUCAUCUAUAAAAUGGACAUAAUGAAAGGACCGCAAUUUACUGGGUUUUGACUGGAAUUAAAUGUACUCAUUUGUAUAAGGCAGUGAUUAGCCCAAUGUCUGGCAUAUUAUAAACUCUCAAAGGUAUUAGCUUCUUUUGUAAUUUUUAAGUUAAUGCCA